CAGGUACAAUAACGCAUGCCUGUAAU
rnacentral:piRNA from 1 species